GAGUUUGAUCGUGGCUCAGGAUGAACGCUGGCGGCGUGCCUAAUACAUGCAAGUCGAGCGAACAGAUAAGGAGCUUGCUCCUUUGAAGUUAGCGGCGGACGGGUGAGUAACACGUGGGUAACCUACCUAUAAGACUGGGGAUAACUUCGGGAAACCGGAGCUAAUACCGGAUAACAUUUAGAACCGCAUGGUUCUAAAGUGAAAGAUGGUUUUGCUAUCACUUAUAGAUGGACCCGCGCCGUAUUAGCUAGUUGGUAAGGUAACGGCUUACCAAGGCGACGAUACGUAGCCGACCUGAGAGGGUGAUCGGCCACACUGGAACUGAGACACGGUCCAGACUCCUACGGGAGGCAGCAGUAGGGAAUCUUCCGCAAUGGGCGAAAGCCUGACGGAGCAACGCCGCGUGAGUGAUGAAGGUUUCGGCUCGUAAAACUCUGUUAUUAGGGAAGAACAAAUGUGUAAGUAACUGUGCACAUCUUGACGGUACCUAAUCAGAAAGCCACGGCUAACUACGUGCCAGCCGCCGCGGU
rnacentral:rRNA from 1 species